ACGAACGCUGGCGGCGUGCUUCACACAUGCAAGUCGAACGGAAAGGCCCUGCUUUUGUGGGGUGCUCGAGUGGCGAACGGGGGAGUAACACGUGAGUAACCUGCCCUUGACUUUGGGAUAACUUCAGGAAACUGGAGCUAAUACCGGAUAGGAGCUCCUGCUGCAUGGUGGGGGUUGGAAAGUUUCGGCGGUUGGGGAUGGACUCGCGGCUUAUCAGCUUGUUGGUGGGGUAGUGGCUUACCAAGGCUUUGACGGGUAGCCGGCCUGAGAGGGUGACCGGCCACAUUGGGACUGAGAUACGGCCCAGCCUCCUGCGGGAGGCAGCAGUGGGGAAUAUUGCACUAUGGGCGGAAGCCUGAUGCAGCCACGCCGCGUGCGGGAUGACGGCCUUCGGGUUGUAUACCGCUUUCGCCUGUGACGAAGCGUGAGUGACGGUAAUGGGUAAAGAAGCACCGGCUAACUACGUG
rnacentral:rRNA from 1 species